AUGAGUCUAUCAUGCUGGAACUGUCGCGGGGCAGGCAAACCCGCGACAGUUCGACCGCUUCGCAACUUCGCGAGGCAAUUUGCCCCAUCGGUGUUGUGCUUAGUAGAAACUCAACUUCCUAGAGAUCGAGUAGAGAACUUGGCAGACACCCUAGGUUAUGAUAAUUCCUAUGCUGUUAGUAGCUCUGGCAGUGGUGGUUUAGGUAUUUUUGGAAUAAUGAAAUAA
rnacentral:rRNA from 1 species